AUGGCCCCGCACGACCGCGCGCUGCGGCGCUGGCUCCGCUCCCUCGCCGACAAACGCGUGGAGGACCUCAUCUUCGUCAACAGGCCGUUCCCCCACGACGUGUACCUCCCCGCCGACGUCCUCCUCAUCUCAUCCCUCCGCCGCCUCUACCUCGGCUUCUGGUACUUCCCGGACAUCCCCGGCCUUCCCGCCGGCCCUCACGUCUUCCCCCACCUCCGGGAGAUCGGCCUCUGCAGCACCGUCAUCAGCGCCGGGGAGAUCGAGUACGUGCUCCAGUGUAGCCCCGUGCUCGAGACGCUCGCGAUUAUCCUCAGCAUCAACCCUUCCUCUCACGUCCGCGUAGGCAGCCGCAGCCUCCGCUGCGCCGUCUUGUGGAUGUCCAUGGCGCGUGAAUUCGCCAUUGUGGCAACCCCGCGUCUGGAGCGUCUCAUCCUCUGGCAGACGUGCCCGGGUGCCCCCAGCGGCGUGUUCCCCACCAACGUGAAGAUUGGCUACGCCCCCGAGCUGCGCGUCCUGGGCUACCUGGAGCCAAGCAUACACGCGCUAGAGAUCGGCAACACCGUCAUCCAGCCUGGAACAAGGAUGAGCCCGGCUAACAUGGUUCCAAGUGUCAAAAUAUUGGCCUUCAAAGUGCGAUUUGGAAUCCGCAAGGAGACCAAGAUGCUCCCCACCUUCCUGAGAUGCUUUCCCAAUGUCGAGACGUUGCACGUCAUGUCCGAUGAAGCUGAUGAACCCAGUGGCAAGUGCAACCUCAAGUUCUGGCAGGAGGUAGCCCCUAUUGAUUGCCUGGAGGCACACGUCAAGAAGGUGGUGUUCAGCCAGUUCCGAGGGAAGCGCAUGGAGCUUGCAUUCCUCAGAUUCAUCCUUGAGAGAACACAAAUGCUGGAGAAGCUGGUGGUCGUUUUGGCCAACGGAGACACUGCCUCGGAGGAUGAUGAGACGUGCGCCAAGCUGAAAGGUUUGGCUAUGGCAAGAAGGGCCAGCGAGUGCCCUAUGACGGUGUUGGUUGUCGCGCGCCAGGGAGACAGCGCUUGGUGCUUUCGCAGAGCAUCUGAUCUUUCAGCGAGUGACCCAUUUGAUGGCUGA
rnacentral:rRNA from 1 species